rnacentral:tRNA from 1 species
GGGGGAUUAGCUCAGUUGGUUAGAGCGCUUGCUUGACAUGCAAGAGGUCGGCGGUUCGAAUCCGCCAUUCCCCACCA